UCCACUACUCAGUUGGUAGAGUAUAAAACUCUUAACCUUGUGGACGUGGGUUCAAGCCCCAUGGUGGAG
rnacentral:tRNA from 1 species